UAUCUACUGGACAUUCUGAUAACUUACAAGAUCUUGGUCUUUGGGAAAGAGGCAGUAAAUCCCACCAACGUAUCAUACAUCUUGCGAGGAAACAUACCCGGGCUGAUUCUAGUAAUAUGACAGACGCCGUUAACGUUGCCUUUGGUAAACCUGCCUACCAAACAGACACCAACCGUCCAUAUACGGCGGACCGUGCUGUUGACGAAAAUACGAAAUCGCGAUUGAUUGAAGACCAGUCGUGCACCCACACAGCGUCUCACAACGUCUCAUGAUGGGUGAAUCUCGAGCAGAUAUUCCUCAUCCGAAGCGUCAAGAUUUACAAGAGGAAUGUAGGACAUAAGUGUGAACCUUUAAUUUGGUGAAACUCAUAAUUAAUGGGUUUGUCGUGCGUUGUCAUUUCUUGUGUGGAAAAUCGUUAUGAAAAUAUAUUGUAAAAUGUAAAA